rnacentral:rRNA from 1 species
CACGAAGGUGGGCUAAUCACGGUUGGACAUCGUGAGGUUAGUGCAAUGGCAUAAGCCCGCUUGACUGCGAGAAUGACAAUUCGAGCAGGUGCGAAAGCAGGUCAUAGUGAUCCGGUGGUUCUGAAUGGAAGGGCCAUCGCUCAACGGAUAAAAGGUACUCCGGGGAUAACAGGCUGAUACCGCCCAAGAGUUCAUAUCGACGGCGGUGUUUGGCACCUCGAUGUCGGCUCAUCACAUCCUGGGGCUGAAGUCGGUCCCAAGGGUAUGGCUGUUCGCCAUUUAAAGUGGUACGCGAGCUGGGUUUAGAACGUCGUGAGACAGUUCGGUCCCUAUCUGCCGUGGGCGUUGGAAGAUUGAAGGGGGCUGCUCCUAGUACGAGAGGACCGGAGUGGACGAACCUCUGGUGUUCGGGUUGUGUCGCCAGACGCAUUGCCCGGUAGCUAAGUUCGGAAUCGAUAACCGCUGAAAGCAUCUAAGCGGGAAGCGAGCCCUGAGAUGAGUCUUCCCUGAUACUUUAAGUAUCCUAAAGGGUUGUCGGAGACUACGACGUUGAUAGGUCAGGUGUGUAAGUGCUGUGAGGCAUUGAGCUAACUGAUACUAAUUGCCCGUGAGGCUUAACCAUACAACACCCAAGGGGUUU